AGAGUUUGAUCCUGGCUCAGAACGAACGCUGGCGGCAGGCCUAACACAUGCAAGUCGAACGGAUGUAGCAAUACAUUAGUGGCGCACGGGUGAGUAACGCGUGGGAACAUGCCCUUUAGUACGGAAUAACGUCGGGAAACUGACGCUAAUACCGUAUACGCCCUUCGGGGGAAAGAUUUUUCGCUAAAGGAUUGGCCCGCGUAAGAUUAGGUAGUUGGUGGGGUAAUGGCCUACCAAGCCUACGAUCUUUAGCUGGUCUGAGAGGACGACCAGCCACACUGGAACUGAGACACGGUCCAGACUCCUACGGGAGGCAGCAGUGGGGAAUAUUGGACAAUGGGCGAAAGCCUGAUCCAGCCAUGCCGCGUGAAUGAUGAAGGCCUUAGGGUUGUAAAGUUCUUUUAGCAGGGAAGAUACUGACGGUACCUGCAGAAAAAGCCCCGGCUAACUUCGUGCCAGCAGCCGCGGUAAUACGAAGGGGGCUAGCGUUGUUCGGAAUCACUGGGCGUAAAGCGCGCGUAGGCGGCUUGACAAGUCAGGGGUGAAAUCCCAGAGCUUAACUCUGGAACUGCCUUUGAUACUGUCUGGCUAGAAGGCGAUAGGGGAUAGCGGAAUUCCUGGUGUAGAGGUGAAAUUCGUAGAUACCAGGAGGAACACUGGUGGCGAAGGCGGCUAUCUGGAUCGCACUUGACGCUCUGGCGCGAAAGCGUGGGGAUCAAACAGGAUUAGAUACCCUGGUAGUCCACGCUGUAAACGAUGGAUGCUAGCUGUUGGACCUUUCAGGUUCAGUGGCGUCGCUAACGCAUUAAGCAUCCCGCCUGGGGAGUACGGUCGCAAGAUUAAAACUCAAAGGAAUUGACGGGGACCCGCACAGGCGGUGGAGCAUGUGGUUUAAUUCGAGGCAACGCGAAGGACCUUACCAGGCCUUGACUUGCCCUCUUUGGGACUAAGAGAUUAGUCCCUUCACCUCGGGUGGGAGGAGCACAGGUGCUGCAUGGCUGUCGUCAGCUCGUGUCGUGAGAUGUUGGGUUAAGUCCCGCAACGAGCGCAACCCUCGUCCUUAGUUGCCAUCAGGUAAUGCUGGGAACUCUAAGGAAACUGCCUGCGUUAAGCAGGAGGAAGGUGGAGAUGACGUCAAGUCUUCAUGGCCCUUACGGCCUGGGCUACACACGUGCUACAAUGGCGGUGACAAUGGGUUGCAACCCUGCGAGGGGUAGCUAAUCUCAAAAAACCGUCUCAGUUCGGAUUGCACUCUGCAACUCGAGUGCAUGAAGCUGGAAUCGCUAGUAAUCGUAGAUCAGCAUGCUACGGUGAAUACGUUCCCGGGUCUUGUACACACCGCCCGUCACACCAUGGGAGUCGGUUCUGCCUUAAGUCGCCGUGCCAACCGCAAGGAGGCAAGCGCCCACGGCAGGGUUGAUGACUGGGGUGAAGUCGUAACAAGGUA
rnacentral:rRNA from 1 species